GUAUACCGCGUGUGUGAAGAAGGCCUUAGGGUUGUAAAGCACUUUAAUCANAGAAGAAGCAUUUUAAGUUAAUACCUUAAUUUGUUGACGUUAACUGAAGAAUAAGGACCGGCUAACUCCGUGCCAGCAGCCGCGGUAAUACGGAGGGUCCAAGCGUUAAUCGGAAUUACUGGGCGUAAAGCGCGCGUAGGCGGUUUAGCAAGUUGUAUGUGAAAGCCCUGGGCUCAACCUAGGAACUGCAUCCGAAACUACUAAGCUAGAGUACGAGAGAGGAGAGUAGAAUUUCUGGUGUAGCGGUGAAAUGCGUAGAUAUCAGAAGGAAUACCAAUGGCGAAGGCAGCUCUCUGGCUCGUAACUGACGCUGAGGUGCGAAAGCGUGGGUAGCAAACAGGAUUAGAUACCCUGGUAGUCCACGCCGUAAACGAUGACAACUAGCCGUUGGGCAGAUUUAACUGUUCAGUGGCACAGCUAACGCAUUAAGUUGUCCGCCUGGGGAGUACGGCCGCAAGGCUAAAACUCAAAUGAAUUGACGGGGGCCCGCACAAGUGGUGGAGCAUGUGGUUUAAUUCGAUGCAACGCGAAGAACCUUACCAAUCCUUGAAAUCUAGCGAAGUUCGCAGAGAUGUGAAUGUGCCUUCGGGAACGCUAUGACAGGUGUUGCAUGGCUGUCGUCAGCUCGUGUCGUGAGAUGUAUGGUUAAGUCCAGUAACGAGCGCAACCCCUAUCCUUAUUUGCCAGCGCGUAAUGGCGGGAACUA
rnacentral:rRNA from 1 species